AGAGUUUGAUCCUGGCUCAGGACGAACGCUGGCGGCGUGCCUAAUACAUGCAAGUCGAGCGAGGAAAUGAAAAGCUUGCUUUUUGUUUCCUAGCGGCGGACGGGUGAGUAACACGUAGGCAACCUGCCUCAUAGACCGGGAUAACUUCGGGAAACCGGAGCUAAUACUGGAUAACAUUUCUCUUCGCAUGAAGAGAAAUUAAAAGUUGGCGCAAGCUAACACUAUGAGAUGGGCCUGCGGCGCAUUAGCUAGUUGGUGAGGUAACGGCUCACCAAGGCGACGAUGCGUAGCCGACCUGAGAGGGUGAUCGGCCACACUGGGACUGAGACACGGCCCAGACUCCUACGGGAGGCAGCAGUAGGGAAUCUUCCGCAAUGGACGAAAGUCUGACGGAGCAACGCCGCGUGAACGAUGAAGGCCUUCGGGUCGUAAAGUUCUGUUGUUAGGGAAGAACAAGUGCUAUUCGAAUAGGGUGGCACCUUGACGGUACCUAACCAGAAAGCCACGGCUAACUACGUGCCAGCAGCCGCGGUAAUACGUAGGUGGCAAGCGUUGUCCGGAAUUAUUGGGCGUAAAGCGCGCGCAGGCGGUCUCUUAAGUCUGAUGUGAAAGCCCCCGGCUCAACCGGGGAGGGUCAUUGGAAACUGGGAGACUUGAGUGCAGAAGAGGAGAGUGGAAUUCCACGUGUAGCGGUGAAAUGCGUAGAGAUGUGGAGGAAUACCAGUGGCGAAGGCGACUCUCUGGUCUGUAACUGACGCUGAGGCGCGAAAGCGUGGGGAGCAAACAGGAUUAGAUACCCUGGUAGUCCACGCCGUAAACGAUGAGUGCUAGGUGUUAGAGGUUUCAAAACCUUUAGUGCCGAAGUUAACACAUUAAGCACUCCGCCUGGGGAGUACGGCCGCAAGGC
rnacentral:rRNA from 1 species